rnacentral:rRNA from 1 species
UACGUAGGAGGCAAGCGUUGUCCGGAAUCAUUGGGCGUAAAGCGCGUGUAGGCGGCCCGGUAAGUCCGCUGUGAAAGUCGGGGGCUCAACCCUCGAAUGCCGGUGGAUACUGUCGGGCUAGAGUGCGGGAGAGGCGAGUGGAAUUCCAGGUGUAGCGGUGAAAUGCGUAGAUAUCUGGAGGAACACCGGUGGCGAAGGCGGCAUCCUGGACCGGUAUUGACGCUGAUGAGCGAAAGCCAGGGGAGCAAACGGG